rnacentral:lncRNA from 1 species
AUAUAUAUAUAUAUAUAUAUAUAUAUAGAGUUUUGCUAGAAUACUAUUAGUAGUAAAUGGCUCGGUUUACUACCGAUUUGUUUUCGAAAAUAGAGCUUCCAAAUUAAUGAUCGGCACCGUUAAACAUGAUCUAAACUAUUUAAACUAGCUGGAAAUCAAAUUUCACACAUUUUCGAUAUUGUUCUCUUGUCUAUCAAGUGAACAGAAAAAUGAAUGUCUGGAAAUGAAUAUUCUUCAAAAAGUGAUAAUACAAUUUUGGGAUGAUAAACGGUUAGGUUUGAAAUUA